rnacentral:lncRNA from 1 species
AGUCAUUACUAUAGGUGAAAUAGAUCAACCUGGGGAAGUUCUCAACUUGUCAAAUGAUCUCGGAGACUAUAGCAAGGUUGAACUGAAGAUCUGCUUAACUGAUUCCCUGGCUUAGUUCCAGCAUGUGCAAUGAUGCAGUUCUGAAGUGCCAAGUGCUUAAUCAUUAAGCUUGCUCUGGGACAAAAACAUUUUACAAGUUCCACUACACAAAAGGCCCUUGCAAGACACCAGUACCUUGAUAUUUGACUUCCAGUCUCCAGAACUUGGAACCUGAACAGUCUGCUGAAGCACCUGAUGUUUGGCCUUCCUGAAUGUCAUGUAAUACGUACUUCACCAUCAAUUCAUACAGCAGAUAUCAUCAUACACAGUCCAGGUAUGAAGAUCUGGGCUCAGAGAGACUAAGUAAGUGAAUUGCCUGAAGACACAUUGUUGAGCUCUGUGUCUUCUUGACUAACACAUGAGGCCACCUCCUGGGGCUGUUUGAACUGUUUCUGCUGAUAGGGGAGGGCAUUUCUCCAGCCCUGCUUCUAGACUCCCUCUUAAUCUUCAGAUGGCCUCUCACCCAGUUGCAUGUUGAGUUAUCCUUUCAAAAGUGUACAUGCUUUCUCUGUGGAAGCUGUGGCAAAUUUCCAGACUUGGCAUCAGGUGGCUUUUGAUGAUUCUCAAAGAUAAUAUUCAUCUAACAUGAAUACAUUUUACUGCUCCUGGGGACACCUAUAAGAAUGCCCCACUGUGGCCGGGCACAGUGUCACGCCUAUAAUUCCAGCACUUUGAGAGGCCAAGGGGGGCAGAUCACCUGAAGUCGGAAGUGUGAGACCAGCCUGACCAGCGUGGAGAAACCCCAUCUCUACUAAAAAUACAAAAUCAGCCGGGCAUGGUGGCGCAUGCCUGUAAUCACAGCUACUCAGGAGGCUGAGGCAGGAGAAUUGCUUGAACCCGGGAGGCGGAGGUUGUGGUAAGCUGAGAUUGCAACAUUGCACUUCAGCCUGGACAACAAGAGCAAAACUCCGUCUCGAAACAACAACAACAACAACAGCAACAACAACAAAAUGCCCCACUGCCUAAAAAUAUAUCCUAAACACGAAGUUCAAAAAUGUUUUAAUCAAUGAAAGCAAAAAUAAAAUGUGUGUGGAGCUUCCCAAAGGUAAAA